rnacentral:misc_RNA from 1 species
AACGCACAUUGCGCCCGCCAGUAUUCUGGCGGGCAUGCCUGUUCGAGCGUCAUUUCAACCCUCAAGUCCCCGUGGACUUGGUGUUGGGGACCGGCAACAGGGGGGGGGGACUCCCCCCCCCCGGCGCCGCCCCCUAAAUGAAUUGGCGGCCUCGUCGCGGUCUUUUCCUCUGCGUAGUAGAAAACACCUCGCAAUAGGAGCCCGACGGUGGCCACUGCCGUAAAACGCCCCAAACUUUUUUCAAAGUUGACCUCGAAUCAGGUAGGAAUACCCGCUGAACUUAA